rnacentral:rRNA from 1 species
UACGGAGGGGGCUAGCGUUGUUCGGAAUUACUGGGCGUAAAGCGCACGUAGGCGGCUUUGCAAGUCAGAGGUGAAAGCCCGGGGCUCAACCCCAGAAUUGCCUUUUAGACUGCAUCGCUUGAAUCAUGGAGAGGUGAGUGGAAUUCCGAGUGUAGAGGUGAAAUUCGUAGAUAUUCGGAAGAACACCAGUGGCGAAGGCGGCUCACUGGACAUGUAUUGACGCUGAGGUGCGAAAGCGUGGGGAGCAAACAGG